UACGUAGGUGACAAGCGUUGUCCGGAUUUACUGGGCGUAAAGAGCGCGCAGGCGGUCGUUCAAGUCGAGUGUGAAAGCCCCCGGCUCAACUGGGGAGGGUCAUUCGAUACUGAUCGACUCGAAGGCAGGAGAGGGAAGUGGAAUUCCCGGGUGUAGUGGUGAAAUGCGUAGAUAUCGGGAGGAACACCAGUGGCGAAGGCGACUUCCUGGCCUGUUCUUGACGCUGAGGCGCGAAAGCUAGGGGAGCAAACGGGG
rnacentral:rRNA from 1 species